AACUCAUAUGCUUCAACACCCAAAAACCAAAUAAUCCGAUUAAAAAAUGGGCAGAGGAUCCUCUUUCGCAACCCAAAACUCAUUGUUCAGCAUGAGUUUUGAUACAGAUAAGAUGGAACAUG